UCUUAUUUUUUAGUUAUUUAUUAUUUAUUUAUUAUUAUUUAAUAUAUAUUAUACUAUUAUGUUAUAUUUAUUUAACUUGUCAUACUUGGCGUAUGACAGACAAAGAUAGUCUCCCCUUGCCAAAUUUUCACAAAUUAAAUUUUAAUUGUCUGCUAUUUUUAAAACUGAUAUUUUCUCGAUAUAACAAUAUAUAUCGAAAUACCGUAUCGUAUAACAUAAAAUACUAUAAAUGUACUAAAUACAUAAUACGGAACUGUAAUGGUAUUUUUAAAAAUCUCCCAAAUGAAUAUCUCUCGAACGCCUACAGAUGAUCUCACUCGAUCACUUUGUUAUCGUACGCGUUGUGGUUCAUCGGUCGAGCGAACGUAUAACAUCGUAGCAUGAUCGUUUUACCUUGUCGAUGUUCGAAAACUUUCGACGCUGUGUAAAUUUCACGUGUUUCUUCUUUUUUUCCUUUUCGUAUUUUUAUUAUUUUACCAUACUUAUUUGUACUUCUCGUUGCUGUUCACAUACAAACUGAAGUUAUUUUAUUUAGAGGAAUAUCAGGGUGCCCUCUUGCGGCAUUAGGAAAAAUCAACAAGAAAGAAAGUCAUGAGAAGAAGGUGGCUCGAGCCAUAAAAAUCAUUGGAGAAAAGAAAAUGUAUCUGAAAGCAGCAAACUACUUUCAAGUGGACAAGAAGCUGCUGUGCUGCAGUCCAGUUUGAUACUUGCAUUUACGACUACUGUUAGUUCGAGGGAGAAACUUGUUCAUAGCGUUAUGAGUAUACAAGUGACCUUAAAUUGAGCGUAAAUAUACGAGUAACAAGAACAACAUUCGAAAAACGAUAUGGUAUUGUAUGUUUGGCUAAUUUACUUUUUUAUCGGGGACGACAAGAUGGAUCGAUUGCUGCAGGGCUUCUUAAACUAUGAGUCGUAAUCCUAUAUAGGAUCAUGUAACAGAGUUACGAGGUCGUGAAACUUUUAUAACUGUCACACAUCGGUGAACUAAAAAAUGUCAAUCAACUGUCACCGAAGGAUCAAGUGAUAUACAACAGCAUUUUUUUAAAAAACAUUUUGAAUGAAUUUUUGCUUGGAAUGAAUACAGAACUUUCAAUAAUUUAUAAAACACACACUUACGACUAUUUUAUGCUAUGUAUCUACUGCAGAAGGACAACAUCAUCGUUGACGAUUGCAAAAUGAAAAUAUCGAUUAACACUCAAGAACAUUGAACGUACUCUGUUAUAUCAGAUAUUUAACCAGAAUUCUUUGUGCAAAAAUAAACAAGCACAUCUGUUUCACCGAUGUGCAAAUUUAAUUCUGCUCUAAUAUGUGAUAAUAAAUGAUACAAUUAUAAAUGUAACAAAGAAUUGUUUAGCAUUAAACUUCUCUAAUUUAUUGUCGAUUAAUGUUUUAUGUGUACAAGGUGGACAAUAUAUAACUGACUAAUUUCAAAGUCCCGCCAUUUCGAAACGAUGCAUCAUCUCCUGUUCCGCUUUAACAAUCGUAUCAUGAACGUACGACAAAAUAAUCAUCGAGCGUUACACAGUUCGAGAGCGGGGAAAAAUUGUCAAAACACUUUAUCAAAGUGAUUCGUCGAUAACGAUGACCUCACACAAAUUACUCUGCCGGUAUCGUCCGGCCAUCAAAGAUCGCCUGAUUCUAUUGCAGCGGAUUUCUUGUUACGAGGAUCUCUCAAAAGUAAAGGGCAUAUCGAUAAACGAAAGCCAAUCGAGCAGCUAAAAGAUGCUAUUCGAGAAGCGACAGCGAACAUAACUUUCGAAACGUGCGAAGAUGUAACGAAAAAUACGACUGACAGGGCUGACUUUGUACAGCAUCCGAAGGCAGGCAUCUUUCUCAUAUCAUGAUUCCACACAUGAUUUCCAAAUAUUAAUAAAUGACUCGUAUUAAAAAAGACUGUUGUCUUUUACUUCGUUUAGAAGUUAUCGACAGUGAGAAUCAGUCAGUUACAUAUUGCCCAAUAUGUGUAUUUAAUUUAUGUACCUCUUUAUGUAUAUAAGUUGUGUUACCUCACCCUGUUACACUCAUUUGCGACCCGUUUAUUUGCGAUACAAGAGAACGUUUCGGACGGAAGUUGCAUGGUACAGUGCUUUUGUCUAUCUGACCUUACGAUAACCUUGAGACGUAUAGCAAAGGUGGCAUACAAAUUUUUAAAUGGGUGCCUUCAUUUUUCAUUAGGUACUUUCGUAGCUGAUAUUCAGACGUGUUGAAAAACGUGCAAACCUGUGUCCUCCGCAGCAUCUGCUAUCGAGAUAUAAACUUUUAACUUCGAUAUACAAGAAAUUCGAUACUAGGAAAUUAGCUGAAAGUGACCGCUCGAAAUGAAUCGACUAUUUCGGACACGUUACAAAACUGCAAUCUUGUGUUUCGAUGAAGCCACAUCAGUGACAGUAUUAUGAAAAUCUUUAUGCGUGGUCGUAGUAUACACCAGGUAACGUUAAUGUGUGUGGCGCAUUGAAUUUUAGCUCGUUCACGCCGGCGUGUACCACCUGUGGCUCACGCUUGUGUCUCCCAUCAGGCGGCGUGCACCACCGAUGGCUCACAUUUGAAUGUUUCAUCAGACGGUGCACACCAGCAAAAAUGUAGUUCGUUUAGUAACUAGAAAAAAUUGCCAUUUGGUUGAAAAUUUAAACAAUGGAAAUUUAAUGUAUAUUAAUUGAAAAAAAGUAGAAUUUAUUUAAAAAUGUAGCAAUUCAAUAUUAUAAACUUAUUAUAAAAAUGAAUACGAGCUCCGCCCCACGGUGAGAAACACAAAUAGCAGCGCCGGCAUGAACAUGUUAGAGACCGCAUCCCGACAAUGUUGGAUAGCGCGAAACACACGAGUUUGUAGUGUUUUGAAAACGUCUGAACGUCGGCUAAGAGCACACGUAAUAAAAGACAGAGGUACGCGUUUAAAGAUUUUAACGUCGCCUUUACAGGACGCUUCAAGGUCGUCGCAAGGUUAAAUAAAUAAAAGCACUCGAUGCCAAACAAGUUUUGCCUGAGACAUUUUUCUAUAUCAUCGCAAAUAAGAGAGUAAUUAAGGAUGACAGAGUUAGGUGGGAUACCCUGUAUAACCGGGGUGGCGUGAAAUGUUUCCUGGCAAAAUGGAGUUGCGAAUGGGAGAAGUUUAAAAAGUGCUGAAUUAGUGUAUUGAAAAACUCAUGAUUCCAUGGAAAAAAAGAAAAAAAAAGAAAAGAACAUCGGUGACCUUCAUGCGUCCUCUACGCGUUCACCUAGGACAAAGCUAAUCAUACCAAAUUACGUCCCCCUCG